UGGGGAAUAUUGGACAAUGGAGGAAACUCUUAUCCAGCAAUUCUGUGUGUGUGAAGAAGGUUUUAGGACUGUAAAACACUUUUAGUAGGGAAGAAAAAAAUGACGGUACCUACAGAAGAAGCAACGGCUAAAUACGUGCCAGCAGCCGCGGUAAUACGUAUGUUGCGAGCGUUAUCCGGAAUUAUUGGGCUUAAAGGGCAUCUAGGCGGUAAGACAAGUUGAAGGUGAAAACCUGUGGCUCAACCAUAGGCUUGCCUACAAAACUGUUGAACUAGAGUACUGGAAAGGUGGGUGGAACUACACGAGUAGAGGUGAAAUUCGUAGAUAUGUGUAGGAAUGCCGAUGAUGAAGAUAACUCACUGGACAGAAACUGACGCUGAAGUGCGAAAGCUAGGGGAGCAAACAGG
rnacentral:rRNA from 1 species